CAGAGUUCAAGAACCAGCUGGGGACAAUGCAAGCUAUCGAAGCAGCAUAAUCAAGAUGUAGCAACUAUGAAUCCGCAACUAUACAGUCCAAGGAAGAGGACGCGCGCAACAAACAUUUAAUUAUAAAGGUUUAGCUGAGAAAGUGGUAUUGAAACCAAACCGAAAAUUACAGUUAAGAGCUGGUGUGUGCAGUAUAUAGCGCAAGAUGCGAAUACCAAUUGUGGCGGCAGCAAAACUAAAUGCAAAUGAAGAAAAAAAUUUAUAAAUGAUACGGGGACAAAUACAUGUAUUUUAAGGUUUAGCUGAGAGUGGUAUGGAAACAAACCAGAAAUUACAGUAUACCUUAGCGACAAUGUUCAAAUGCUGGGAUUAGUGGAAAGGCCCAUUAUUUGAAAAGUAGAAGCAUGUUUAGCAUAAUUUUGAAGCUGGUGAAAUUAACAACUACCAUGUGUUGAGAUCGAACAAGAUCUUCGAGACCAAAUGCAGCAAAGACUAACGUGAAGGAAUGCAGCAACACUUCGUCGAGAGAAUAAUGACUGUGAUGACACUAGAGAGGGAGACAAGAACAAAAAGUAGCUUUAAGGUUGAGUCAUUGAUUUGUCAUUCUGUUAAAGCUUGGUUGAUGCAUUGAUAGAAUUUGUAUAACUUUGUGUAGUUUACUUUAGAUAUAAACUAUAACCGAAUUCUUCUUCCACUGGAAUUAUCUGUGUAGCCACCACGAAUUUCACAAUUUUCUUUGCAUUUUUUUAUGUGACAUGCACAAGUUUGUUACAUAUUCCCCAUUAUCCUAUGUAGCCUCAAAAUCAAAGAAAUGUUAUUUUCUGAUUAUUUUCUUCAUAUUUUUUAUCAUAUAAUUUUUACUACUAAAUUUCUUUAUCAUUAGAAAUCAUAUAGCAUUUAUGGUCAAAUCCUAUUGCCAUUAGUACACACAAACGAUACUUGAAACUACCUAACCCAUUUUGAAUCGCAGGCCUGAUUUUCCGAUUACGCAAACGGUCGUUAUUUACAAGGGAAUUAUUUAACGUAACACGCAAGUUGCAUAUUAUCUUAUGUAUCCUCGAAAUCAAAGAAAUAACAUCGUUAACUAAUUAAAAGGUUCACGUCUUUCGAAACUAGCCUUAAGUUACCGUAGUGUUGACUAAGAUACCAUACACACCAACAUCUAUCCAUCUAUCCAUUCUAUCUAUUCAUGAAUGGCUUUAUCAAUAUACAGUAGUCGCCAUGCAACACUGAUUUAAAGUCUUCUCUCUAUAAUGUGCUUGCUCAUCUACAGGUAUCAACAUACAUACGUCGUGGUCAAUUUGAGUUGAAUUGAGAUCCAUAACAAUCCUGUUGCACUAAACACUUUAGUUAAAAUUUCAUCUUCAACUAACAUGGUUGAUUGGCAGAAUAAGAUAGUCGUUGGACUGCUCAGAUCAAUCAAAUGUAGGCUUGGUACAGCUGUAGAUCAUUCACGGGAAUGUCUUCACCAACAUGGUUGAUUCAUAGAAUAAGACUAUCGUUGUAGGCUUAGUAGAUCGUGCCUUAUAUCAUGCCUUAUGCCCAGGUGUAUCUUUAUUUUUACCGGACACUGAACAAGAAAAACAUUUACCAUCCAUGGGGUCUAUCUCGUUUGUUAGUUUCCCCCAAGUAAUCUCCGAUAGGAGGUUGCAAUUCUCCCGGGUUAGUAAUGUUAGUAAUAAAAAAUGCAAGAAUCUGUGUCAUAGCAAAAAAUACGAUCCUGUUAUUUACCUAGCAAAUCAAUUUUACGGUGUCGAUCAAACUCAACCGUAUCACCCUGGGUUUUACAUCUAUCAGGCCACCCAGAAGCAAUUAAUGUAUCCAGAAAACAAACCCUCAUAUCCUUUCUCUCAUACUUCGAUUUUCUAACCGGGUUGUACAGCUUUCUGUAAUUCGAUGGUUUCGAUACCCACGUACGUAAGUUCUCGUCGCAACUAAAACAAAUGGGAAAUAAUAACUGAUUGUAAACGUAUCUUAAUUAUUCUGAAAUAAUCUUCAUCUUUUGCAAUCUACCCAGUAAGAUUUUAGGAUGACCUUAUUAUCAUAUGGAUAAAGGAAGUAAAGUACUUUAGUUUUCUUCUAAGCCUACGUCAUAGUAACCUAGAAAGUAUUCUGCAGUCGGUUGAAUUCAAUUUGAUUCAUACCAAUGUAGUUACGAAGAGCUUUCUAACCUUUGCAGUCUCUUGGCGGUGGACAUCAUGCCUAUAUCAUGAAAGACCAUCACCAUGGUGGUUGUCGGAUGUUUUCCUUAAUUGUAUGAGGAAUCUUAACUCUCUGAAUCGGUCUUCAUACAUUCGACCACAUGCACUAACGUGCAUGAUAAAGUUCUCAUAAGGUAUAUCAAUAUGCAUCUGAUUGUAUUGAUAUAAUAUGUCCAUCUUUACUUCAUAAUUUGAAUUAAUAUUUCUGUUUCGCUUGAAUUAAUGCAUUUUCAUAUUCUUCAUUCAAUAUGAUCAUUAGGUUUAAAAUGUCUUGAAAAGACAGAAAAAACAAUCCUUUCGAUCACUAGGAUGUAGUGUAGCUGAUGUAACUCACAAAGUAAGGAAAUCAUUUGAGCCGUAAGCAGAUUAUUCUAAUCCUUCACGUCAUGACCUUACGAAUUUAGUCUGCAGAUUUCAGCCGUAGGUUGCUCUAGAAGGGUUUGUCGAAAAUCAGCAAGUUCAGUAGUUUUAAAAAGUUUGUUCUGCGAUUUCUAACUGCUCUUCCAUUUACAUGAACUUAAUUUGAGUUCUCGAAUCAUUGUUGAAGGUUGAACUAAGAACAAAUGAAAAAAAAAAAGAAAAAAACUAUGUCUCUAGAUAUGAAUCGGACAUAUCUAUACCCGGAAAUGGAUUCUUAAGAUGGGGUCGAUAACAUUUUGGUCAUCGUAAAAAGUGUCAAUGAGGGACGAUAAGAAAAUACAAGAAAAAUAGAAAGUUAAAAUACAACACAAUUGGGCUUUAAAAAUGAACCCCUUAUCGUGUUUUUCCGAUCCGUAUUGUACUAUUUCGUUUUCAUCGUCAUCCGCGAAUCGAAUUACAUAGUAAUUUGCUAUGCAUCCCUAAACCUAAUACGAUCAUUAGGUUUAAAAUGUCUUGAAAAGACAGAAAAAAACAAAUCCUUUCGAUCACUAGGAUGUAGUAUAGCUGAUGUAACUCACCAAGUAAGGAAAUCCGUAAGCAAGUUAUUCAAAUCCUUCAGAUUUCAGCCGUAGGUUCUAGCCAGUUCAGUAGCUUUACAAAUUUUGUUCUGCGAUUUCUAACUGCUCUUUCAUUUUCAUUAACUAAAUUUGAGUUCUCGAAUCAUUGUUGAAGUGUGAACUAAAAGAGCAAAAAUAAACUAAAGGAAAAACUGUCUCUAGAUAAGAAUCGGACGUAUCUACACCCGGAAAGGGAUUCUUAAAAUCGGGUCGAUAACAUUUUGGUCACUCUAUUCCCGAUAUUCGAAGACGUCAUCGUAAAGAGUGUCAAUUUGGGCCAAUAAGAAUAUACAAGUAAAAUUUAUAAUUAAAAUACAACACAAUCAGUUUUUAAAAAUGUAGUCCUAAUAAUAAAUCGCCAUAUCAUGUUUUGCCGAUCUGUAUUGUACUAUUUCGUUGUCAUCGUCAUCCGCGAUUCUUGUUCGUUUUCAUAUAUCAUUUUCAUAUGUUUUCCUUGUCCAUGUUUCCGUUAACAUAGUAUCAGUAGUUUGGUAUGCAUCCCUAAACUUAACAUACCAUGUCUUAGGAUUGUAAAUACUGCCUGCUCACAAGCAAUACGUAUAUUCUCAUCAUUCUCUUCUUCAUUGAUGCAUUAAGAAAAAAUAUUAAUAGUUACUAUAACACAACACAACAUGUAUAACACGAAAAGAUUUAAUUUAAUUUUUGUUUCAUGUACGACAGUUACAUACAUUGAAGUAUUUUGUUAACUAGAUUACCAUUUUACCUUAUUAAUUCUAAAACUAAAUGAAAAUUAUUUAAAGCCCAUUCAAAAUGGAGUGCCUUGUAAUUAAUAAAUUUUAAACAUAGUAAAAGUUGUUCAAAAUCGAUCUGACUUGAUCGGUUGUUAAUACAGCCGUAACAGUUUUCAGAGGCAAGCUUAUUGCAUACAAUAAUAAAUUCAUCAAUAUGUGCAUGUUCAA